rnacentral:lncRNA from 1 species
AGAAAACGUAUGAUUAGUAAUUUCCUUAUGCAGAAAGUAGAACAGUUUCUGGCUAAGGCCUAGGGCUUUAAAAAAAAGGUGCUUUUAGUAAAAAAAAGAAAAUGGAAAAUUCUUUAUUCCAAAGCCAAAGCAAUGGUUCAUGGCCUCCUUCUGAGCAGUAAUAGUCCAACUCCACGAGGAAGUGGAAAUGGAAAAGAUUAGCUUGGGAAAAUAUUCUAAGGGCUGUCUGCCUGCCCAGCCACUGUCACCUAUAUACUGAGCCACCUUCUCUGGUCCUUACAAGCACAGAAAAAUGGAUCUGUGGCAGUCAUGGUUCCUGGACUUCUAGAAAUGACUAUAUUCCAGGAGAUGCAGAAAUGCUACUGAACAUGGAUGUGCAGCACCACAGAAAACCUAUGUGGGAUCCUGAUCACCAGUGGAAGCCCGGCUCCUUAGAGAGCUAAGAUGGAACAAAGAAAAUUCCCAGGCCCGGGAACCACCAGAGGUACUACCUUAUUUGCUCAAAAGUCACCCAGCAGUUGUACUCAGAGUCAAGGACUAGUGCUUCUGCACCUGAGAAGAAGCAUCUCCGGCUACCCAUCGGAAGAGCGCUUUGUCUAAGGAGGCCUCAAACUUCAGCCUCCCGACUUGCAAUCUGAGUCAGGAGCCAAGCUGUGCAAGUGGACAAGCGCCCUCGGAAGAUGCUGUCUCCCUGUCGGAGCCAACUGGCGCACUCACCCUCCCUGCUCAGCUCAAUCCAUCAGCGUGUGCUGCCACUGCCGUAAGUCAAUCGGCUCGGGGCGGACAGCUAUCAGAGAUGAAACAGGGACAAGGAAAAG